CUUUCAGCGGCAUCUCUUCCUGUUCAGCCGUCUCCAUUUCCUGUGUCUCCAAGUACUGCUUCCUGUGUCCCGAACAUCAGCAGAAUCAACAGAGGAGCACAAUGAGGAUUGUUUUCUUACAGAAAUGUACCAUGCAGCGACACCUGCUGGACGUUUGCAGUAUUACAGCACACACAGACCUGAGUUUGUCUCGGCCCUGCAGCAGCUCUUUAUAAACGAUCUGUGUUUCAGCGUCAGGAUCUAACGGGUCGCUCCAGUCGCCCAGCGUCACGGCAGAAUGAGUCCGACUGCAGCCCGACGCUGACACACACGCACACACACACAAAAAGAGAGGACUGUAUGUGGUGUGUAGUUGUCCCUCCGUGUCCUGUGUAAUGACCUGCAUGACGUUCUGUAGCUGAAAGGCGUUUUCAUCCACUCGCUCCACCGCACGCACACGCUGGAUGAGAAUAGAGGAGCGAACCUGAAACACACGCAGAGCGUGAAUGAUGAACACACAGCGACAGAUGAAGAGUCAGACAG